AGCAUCGCCAAGGCCCUCGUCGCCUUCUACCAGAAGUACGUCGAUGAGCAGUCCAAGAAGGAGAUCAAGGACAUCCUCAUCAGGUACGACCGCACCCUCCUCGUCGCCGAUCCCCGCCGCUGCGAGCCCAAGAAGUUCGGUGGCCGUGGUGCUCGCGCUCGCUUCCAGAAGUCCUACCGUUAGGUCGGCACCCACCGGUCCUCUUGGGGUCCUCCGUCUUUUGGAACAAUUAUGGGUUUGGACUUCGAUUGGAAAGUUUAGAUCUUGUUUUUUCUUGAGAUGGAUCAUUAACGUU
rnacentral:lncRNA from 1 species